CAAGUCGAGCGGACAGAAGGGAAGCUUGCUCCCGGAUGUUAGCGGCGGACGGGUGAGUAACACGUGGGUAACCUGCCUGUAAGACUGGGAUAACUCCGGGAAACCGGAGCUAAUACCGGAUAGUUCCUUGAACCGCAUGGUUCAAGGAUGAAAGACGGUUUCGGCUGUCACUUACAGAUGGACCCGCGGCGCAUUAGCUAGUUGGUGAGGUAACGGCUCACCAAGGCGACGAUGCGUAGCCGACCUGAGAGGGUGAUCGGCCACACUGGGACUGAGACACGGCCCAGACUCCUACGGGAGGCAGCAGUAGGGAAUCUUCCGCAAUGGACGAAAGUCUGACGGAGCAACGCCGCGUGAGUGAUGAAGGUUUUCGGAUCGUAAAGCUCUGUUGUUAGGGAAGAACAAGUGCAAGAGUAACUGCUUGCACCUUGACGGUACCUAACCAGAAAGCCACGGCUAACUACGUGCCAGCAGCCGCGGUAAUACGUAGGUGGCAAGCGUUGUCCGGAAUUAUUGGGCGUAAAGGGCUCGCAGGCGGUUUCUUAAGUCUGAUGUGACAGCCCCCGGCUCAACCGGGGAGGGUCAUUGGAAACUGGGAAACCUGCGUGCAGAAGAGGAGAGUGCACCUUCCACGUGUAGCGGUGAAAUGCGUAGAGAUGUGGAGCAACACCAGUGGCGAAGGCGAUUCUCUGGUCUGUAACUGACGCUGAGGAGCGAAAGCGUGGGGAGCGAACAGGAUUAGAUACCGUGGUAGUCCACGCCGUAAACGAUGAGUGCUAAGUGUUAGGGGGUUUCCGCCCCUUAGUGCUGCAGCUAACGCAUUAAGCACUCCGCCUGGGGAGUACGGUCGCAAGACUGAAACUCAAAGGAAUUGACGGGGGCCCGCACAAGCGGUGGAGCAUGUGGUUUAAUUCGAAGCAACGCGAAGAACCUUACCAGGUCUUGACAUCCUCUGACAACCCUAGAGAUAGGGCUUUCCCUUCGGGGACAGAGUGACAGGUGGUGCAUGGUUGUCGUCAGCUCGUGUCGUGAGAUGUUGGGUUAAGUCCCGCAACGAGCGCAACCCUUGAUCUUAGUUGCCAGCAUUCAGUUGGGCACUCUAAGGUGACUGCCGGUGACAAACCGGAGGAAGGUGGGGAUGACGUCAAAUCAUCAUGCCCCUUAUGACCUGGGCUACACACGUGCUACAAUGGACAGAACAAAGGGCUGCGAGACCGCAAGGUUUAGCCAAUCCCACAAAUCUGUUCUCAGUUCGGAUCGCAGUCUGCAACUCGACUGCGUGAAGCUGGAAUCGCUAGUAAUCGCGGAUCAGCAUGCCGCGGUGAAUACGUUCCCGGGCCUUGUACACACCGCCCGUCACACCACGAGAGUUUGCAACACCCGAAGUCGGUGAGGUAACCUUUAUGGAGCCAGC
rnacentral:rRNA from 2 species